AACGAACGCUGGCGGCAUGCCUAACACAUGCAAGUCGAACGAACAGACCAGGUGCUGUGUCCCACGGGGUUGUAACCGGAGGGAACAUGAACAUGGGGUUGGAAUAACUAUACGACUGGGGUACUAACAGGGGACCAUAGCUACGGACCAAAGAUAUAUUGACUUUGGAUGUGCAGGCGUUGGAUUAGCUUGUUGGUAGGGUUAUAGACUACCAAGGCGACCAUUCAUAGCUGGUCUGAGAGGAUGAUCAGCCACACUGCGACUGAGACACGGCCCAGACUCCUACGGGAGGCAGCAGUGGGGAAUAUUGGACAAUGGGCGAAAGCCUGAUCCAGCAAUGCCGCGUGAGUGAUGAAGGCCUUAGGGUUGUAAAGCUCUUUUACCCGGGAUGAUAAUGACAGUACCGGGAGAAUAAGCUCCGGCUAACUCCGUG
rnacentral:rRNA from 1 species